UGAAUGUAGACUCCUUUUUGUGUCCAAAUACAUUUCAUUCUUCAUUCAUGUGGAUAUGGAUAUAUAUCCAAUAAAUGUGAGAAUUUUGAGCAUAUAACAGGUCCACACGUUGAUGAUGUUGGUUGGUUGCCAGAUAGAUUUGUCAUUUGUGUUAUGUUCAAUCAAUGCAAAACAGAAAUAAAUUAUUUAAAGAAAAUGCUAACAAGUUUCCUAAAGACAUUGUUUAAGGAGUCCAUAGUAAAAAAUUUAAACAUGUCUUUAGGAUACUUUUUAGCAUAAUCACUUAAAAUAAGGAAACAUGUAGUAUUAUUAUAUUUCUACAGAAAUGCAAAAUCGCAUGGAUGGUCUGUUUAUAGAUUUCAAUGCAAAGGUUUCGUAAUUGUGUUUCCGGAUAUUCCUUAAGUAUUUCAUCCAAGAGGAACAGUUCCUUGAACUCCAUGUUUAUAAAAUUACACUUUCAAUACUACGUACAAGAGUAAUUACCAAUAUACCGAACACUAGAUAUCUCUUUAUUUCAACUAUAAUGAUUGGAUGAUGUGAACAUUUUAAUUCAGCUGUAGUUUUAUCAACUUACAUACUUUUGUUGUGUGAUUCAGGAAAGGCAUAUCAAAGUUUUAUAGUGGCAAAUCAAAAUCAUUCACAAGCUUAGCAGAUGCAGCAGGUGAAACUUGUGUGCAAAAGAUUGUAAAACCAGAGGACCCUUAUGCUAAAAAACGCAAGGAUUCGCUAGCACGUAACCUAUUGAUAGGGAGGAGUCGUAGUUAUGCAAAUGUUGGUGGGAUAUCAAACUCAAAGCGAACUUCAAACUUAGGCAGACGAACAUCUUGUCUCAAUCUGAACUACAAUGCUGACAGUGGUGAUGAGGGGAAGAGUUCCGUUUCCACAUCAAUAUCACCACCUUGUCCACUUCCUCCUCUUCAUCGUCAACCUAAUAGGUUGUCCACAACUGCUUCACUUUCUCGUCCUCCCGCACAAAAUACCCCUUUGCGCUCAUACUCCUGGUCUGAUCUGAACUCUGUAGCUGAGGGACAUGAUAUAACUGGUUUGGCCAUUUGUAGUGGAAACAAAGGCAAUAAAGUACACUGAAUUUUUUAUAGGAGUUUCACUCUUUAGUUGAUAGCAAGCGAGUUUGUGACUUUGUUUUGUAUGGCGCAGCAGCUGUGGACACUUUGAUUAAGAGAGAGACAUUUUCUCUCACUAAAUGUAACGGUCUUCACGACUGCUGUAUGUGGAUCCAAAAAUGUUUUGUAUUGGAGAGGGUGUUAUCUAUGUGAACUCGUCUUAAGCCUUCUGAGUAGUGUUGUAUAUUAUGUCUCAACUUUUGAUAAUUUAUGACUCUAAAAAGCAUACUUAUUAGCAUAAAUGAUGAUUAUCAUCUUGUUGCUGAUGAAUUCUUCCUUGGUGGUUUAAUCCUUUCUUGCUUGUUGAUUCUUUCGUAGUGGCUUCAAUAGAAUACCUUCGUAGAUACUAUGAAAAUCAUAGUACUAGUGUUAUGGUAGACAUAAAAAGUUCCACAUUGCUUGUAAAUUGAGAUAAAGGUAGUUUAUAUAUAAUAUUUACAUUUUUCAACCCACAAAAUCUUGAAAGUUCACAUAUGGUCCAAAAUAGACAAUAUCUCGGAUGACAAUUGUAUGAGCUAUGUCCUAAUAUAUUGGACACAGUGCAUACAAUUGUCAUAUCUGUCUCUAUUUCGUUGAGUUUCAGAAGUACGAGAGUAUACCAUCUCGAUUAUUUCUUUGUGUUUAAGGUUAUCAUCAAUGGUUCAUCCAUGCAGAUAUUCCUACUAUAUUUGAUAAAUUUAAACUUCACCAAUAUAAUAUAUAGAAAACAUGGUCUUGAAUGAUUUAAUUAUUGAAUUAAUUCUAACAAUUGGUAUCAAAGCGGAGUUGAUUCAUGUUUGAUUUGAUGGGUUGAUAUCUGCAAAAAUUCUGUCAUGGAAUUGACAUCGAGUUUACUCUCUCCAAUGUUGCUAUGCUAAUAUAUAUGGCGCAUUUUCUAGACACGACAGGAGAAAUCGCCAAGAAAAACUUGUUGGCGUAUGCCAAAUCAUUUCUGAGAGAGACGGUGCUCUCCCACACUGCAAACACUAUAUCUGUUCUUCACUGUUGGGAAACUCUCCAGCUAUUUAGAAUGGAUUAACCUUGUCAGCAGAUUAAUCAAUGCAAUUGCAAACAAUGUUUGCAAAGAGCGACUUACUUCUGAAGCCAUUGAACCCGAAACGCCUUCAGAAUGGUUGGGAAAAUCUCUUUCUGUUCUUAAUCUUGAUUUCUUCAGAAGAGUUCUGCAAUGAAGUUAAAGGGACUGAAACAAGACAUUACCAGCAAAAUUUUGAUAGACUAUGCACAUAAUUCUCUUCAAGUUGUCAAAGGAAGUUUACUUGACUUAGAAUUCCUGAAGAAUCAAAGAGUUCUUUCUGAAACAGUAACUAGUUUACUUCCAACUCAAUCAAGGGAAAACCAGGUUCCAAUAGCAUUUCUCUCAAGUUUGUUGAAAUCUGCAAUAGCAGCAUCAACAUCUACUUCUUGUAGAUCUGAUUUGGAGAGGAGGAUAGGUGUACAACUUGACCAGGCAACUCUUGAAGACAUUCUGAUUCUAACAAGUUCAUAUUAACAUAAUAACCAUAGCAGUGCUAUUUAUGAUACAGAUUCAAUUGUGAGGAUUUUUUUCGAUUUUUCUUAACUUGGACGAAGAGGAUGAGGAUGAUAGUUGGUUGAUCAAAGAUGAAAUAUUAAUAGUUUCAUGAAAUUUUUUGUGAUUGACUCGAUAUAUACUUUCUACUUUAUUGUGACAUAGGUUCAUCCAAACAUAAAGGAGCGAAAGCGAUACUGAUUAUGCAAAACCAUCAAUUGUAAGAAACUGUCACAAGAAGCAUGCAGCGAUGCAGCACUAAAUAAGAGGCUACAAGUUACAAUGGCCGUACAAGUUGUAUACUUUGAACAAAUCCGGCUUCGAAAUGCUAUGAAUGAAGCAGGAAGUGAUGCAGGAAAUGGAGUUGUGUCACCUAGGCUAGAGAUAACUAUGCAUCAGUUAGAAGGGAAAACUGGGAGCUGAAACACUACUAGAAAAUUGGUUAUUUCGGACGGAUUAAAGUUUGUCCGAAAGCAUUUUUACAUUUCAGACAAAUUUGGGACGGUUCUAAAAUACAAAUGUUUUUGUCCCAAAUUCGUCCCUAAUCUGUCUGAAUGCUUUUGCCCUUGUCUCAAUAUGUCUGUUUCCCACAGAUUUCGGACGAAAUUGAUUAAAGAAUUGAAGUUGUCUGAAAUUCGUCCGAAAAGUUGAGACGGAUUUCGGACUAAAUUUAUUAUUUAAUGAAAUCUGAAGGGUUUUUCAGAAAAGGAGCCAACUUAGUGCGCGUGUUUCACUUUCAUUUUUCAUCUGGCGCCUAUUGAUUUCAUCCUUUGCCUAGGGUUUUCCUUUUCCCCCCAAAUAGCACAACACUAAAAAGAAAAGUUGAAGGGUUUUCAUCAUUAUCUCUUCACUUUCACUAUCAAUUAGGGUUUCAAAAUCAAUAGCUGGAGCUUGUCAUUAACACUUCGCAAAGAAUUUCUUCCCCAAAUCGUUGUUUUCAUCAUUUUCUACAGAUACAACUUAUUGUGAGUGCUUCUUAUUUUUAAAAGGUUUGAUUUUUCACAUAUCUAUUGAAUUGAUCCACCGAUUGGACCACUUUUGUGUCCCCAUGUGAGUUGAUUUUGUCUCCUUGUGGUGUUGCUGUUGUUAUUUUUAUUUUUUAAUAGAAAGGUGCUCUUGUUGGUUGAGGUUGGAACAUACAUAGUAGAUAUUUCAUAUAUUAUUUUCCUAGGUCAUUCAUAUACAUGGUUUUGAUAUGGUAUUUUUAGGAGUAGUUUGGAAGAAUAACUCAACAGUAAGUUCUAUUAGAAAGUAAUCUAGAAGGAUAAUAAGUUUGGGUAUUUUACUAAAAUUUAUAUAUGGUUUUUCAAUUGCAUUUGAACCUGGUUUUAGUUUGUGAAAUAGAAGUUAGUUUUGCCUGGUUGGAUUUACUAACACAAACUACAAUUUGUGAAAAUCAAUUAAUUUAAGAAAAUUUUGUAACAUGGGGUCAUGCUAGUAACUUUUUCCUAGCAACUAUUUUGCAAAUUUUAUCAGACUUUUAGGCAUGCACAAAGAGGAUCAAUUUGUGAAUUUUUAUACUAAAAGAGUGUUUGCAUAUUCUCUUAUUACAUGCAUUCAUUUUUUUUAUACCUUUUACUCUUUAGAUUCUUGAUUUGAGUUGUUUCUAAAUGCUAUAUAUGUAGUUGUUUGCACUUGACCUCUGUCAUUUGUUAGGUUGAUAGUAAUAUGCUUCAUACUAAUUUUUUAGAUUGAGCUUGCUGUGAAGAAACUAGGAGUUGCUUUACAUUUCUACUUGAACUUAUUCAGUCACAUUAAAAGCUUACAACUUUGUGAGCAUUGCAUAAAGUUCUAUGAAAUCAAUUAGUUAUGAAAUUGCUAGAUUUAUAUAUAUGCAUUGCUAAAUUUAUUUUAAUAAAACAGGAUAUGGAAAUUCCUGAACAUCGAAAAUGGAUGUAUAAGAGACUUCUUCCAAACCGGGCAGGAUUGAGACCGGAGUUUGUUAAUGGUGUUCGGGAAUUUGUGAACCAAGAAAUUAGAAAACCCCAAUUUACUGAAAAUGGUGGUAAAUUUAGGUGUCCUUGCAAUAAACAUAGAAACGUAGAUUUUUUAACACCCGAUGAGGUUAUGGUUGAUUUGUAUAGGCAUGGUUUCAAGCCAAAGUAUUGGUGUUGGGAUUCACAUGGGGAGAGUUCUUUAAGUUCAAAUAAUAGAAAUACAAAUAAUGUGAACAAAGAAAGCACAUGCAGUCAGUCGUUAGAUGUCGAGUCACAAAGAAUUCUAUAUGAGUCUAUGAUUUUUGAUGCUAUUGGGCCGGAAAUUAUGGAUCAGUUUGAGCAACACAUGGAGGAACCUCCAAAUAGGGAAGCCAAAGUUUUUUAUGAUUUGUUACAAUCUGCACAACGACCAUUAUGGGAUGGUUGUGAUACCCACUCAGAAUUAUCUAUGGCGGUUAAAUUGUUGAGUAUUAAAGUAGAAGGGAAUAUAUCGCAACAAAGCUUUGACGAGAUACUUCAAGUUACGAAGGAGGGUAUGCCUAAGGAUAACUUGCUUGUCCCUAAUUUUUACAGAGCAAAGAAGUUGGUAUCUAAACUUGGAAUGGAAAGUAAAAAAAUAAAAAUUUAUUUAUUUAUUGUAGAUUUCUCCAUCACCUUAAAAAGAAGGUUAAGAAUAAGGCUCAUGUUGAAGGAUCAAUAAUUGAGUCAUACCUUAUUGAGGAGAUUUCUCAAUUUUGUUCGUAUUAUUUUGAGUCUAAUGUGCAGCCCUACAAUUUUAGCACCGGAAGAAAUGGGGAUGAAGAUGAUUUGGCACAAUCUGUCUUUUCCAUUUUUAAUUUGCCUGGGCGAUUUGCCGGCGAAUGCCAGAUUCGAUUUUUGGAGGAUAGGGAAUUUACAGCUGCCAUGAAUCAUAUAUUAAUCAACUGUGAUGAGAUUCAACCCUAUAUUGAGUAAGUACUUUAUAAAUAAAAUAAAAAUGAUUAAUUUCUUAUUGUGAUAAAUUUAAUUGAAUGAAAUUAAUGUAACAAUAGGAUCUUUGUGGAGACAUUACAUGUAGAUCAUCCUAAUAUGAGUGAUGAACAUGUUGAUAAAUGCAUCGAAGAAAACUUUGCAACAUGGUUGAAAGAUUAUGUAAGUAUAUUUUGAAAAGAUCUUCUAUACAUACUAUGUUUUGCACAUUCUUUUAGUAACACCCCUUUGUUGAAUGAUUUUGUAUAGGUUGACAAUCCUUCAAAUAAUGUGUUAGAUCAAAACAUACAUGCUUUAGCAUGGGGUCCGUUAAGAAUAGUAAAAACUUGGCCUAUUUACUUUGUGAAUGGCUUCAAGUUUCACACAAAAGCACAUUCAAUUGGAAAGUCUACUAUGAAUCGUGGAGUGUGCGUUAAAAGUACAGGCUAUGGUGAAUAUGAAAAUGACUUCUAUGGUCAACUUGAAGAAAUAAUUCAAAUUGAAUAUCCCGGAACACCAUUGAAAAAGGUCGUGUUGUUUAAAUGUGAGUGGUUUGAUCCUACAAUUGGUAGAGGAACAAAGGUUAAUGAACAAUAUGGCAUUAUUCAAAUUCGACAUAAUCGUUAUUAUAGAAAGUAUGAUCCAUUUAUUGUUGCACACAAGGCAAUUCAAGUGUAUUAUGCUCCACAUCCAAUAAUUACUAGGAAUAAUGCAGAUUGGUGGUUUAUAAUCAAAACCAAAGCAAGGGGUAUGAUUGAGGAUCAACAAGUUGGCGACUUUGCGUAUCAAGAGGAUUUCCCAGAUCAAAAUAGUGGUGGCAUCUCAGUUGAUAUUGAUUUACCUACUAGCUUAAUGGAUAGUGAGGGAAGAUUUGAUGAGGUUAGUGAAUCUGAUAAUGAUGAUGAUGAUGAAAAUGUCAUGGUUGAUAAUAAUAUUGAUGACAACGAGGAGUAUGCGGAAGAAGAGAUGAUGGAUGAUGAGCCAGAUGAAGAUGAAGGGUUUAGCGAUCAAAGUAACGAUGAGGGAUUAUAAGUCUAUGAUGGAUGAUGAGGUAUUUGCUGAAUAUUAUGUGAUUUUUUAUGAAUUUAUCUAGGUCCAUAAGUCUAUAAGUGACUCUGAGUAUAUAUUAUUAUUAUUGUUGUUUUGUUUUGACAUUAUUGUUGAACCCUUUUACGACUCUAGUUGAUGUAUGGUAUCUUAGAAUGAUGAAAGUAUCACUUAAAUUCUUUGUUCAACUCUUUUAUUACUCUUACAUGAGUUAUUUGUUAUUUUAUAUAAAUCCAGUAUUUUAUAUAAAUCUAGUUUGUGUGAGUUCUUUAUGGGCAGGAUGGAUUUCAUAUAUUUCACAACUGUUUGACUUUGUUAUGUAAAUCUACUUUGCUGGUGUUUUUUGCAGGUCUAUGACAUUGUGAAAAACAGAUCAUGAAGGUCGCGCUUGAAUGCUCACUCUUGAUCAAGUUGUGUUUUUAUUCUAGGUGUGGUUUCUUUUGGUCCUGCUGUUUCAAAGUUAAGGGAUGGAUCAUGGAACCUUUUUAGCUCCUGUCUGAUUGAGUUUUGCAUGCUGUUAUAUUUGUUGUAAGGGGUUAGCUUCCAAGUUUUAUGUUGUUUGGACACAAGGGAUGGUUAUUAUGUAUUAUAGGGGAAGCUUUGCUUUUUACUAACUUUGUUGUAUUGACUUGGCAUUUCUUGUAACCCUUUGUUAAUAUAUUGCUCUUCUUUUGUUGCUGCUGAAAAAAAGUAUAUUGUAAAAUAUAAACUUUUGUUGAUUAAAAUUGUCUAAAGUCAUAAAAAUUUGUAUGAAACUUGAAAAAAAAAAAUCAAUUUACAGAGCAAAUAUGAUUAUUAAUUCCGUGGGAAAUUUGUCUAAAAUAAACUGAUAGAAUCUGUCCAAAAAACGUAGGAAAUUUAUUUCGUUCCGUCCGAAAUUCGUUGGAAAAUAAGUCCACAUAAUGGACAAGUUAGAUUUCAGAGUUUGUACGAAAACUGUCUGAAAUCCGUCCGAAAUACAUUUCAGACGGAAUUUGGGACGGCCUCUUCAAUUUGCGACGCGCCUUUUUCGGACACUUAUUGUCUGUCUGAAUUCCGUCCGAAAUUAUUGGUCCGUCUGAAUUCCGUCCGAAAUUUGUCCAAAUCCCGUCCGAAAUUCCGUCCGUAAAAACCUUUUUUUUAGUAGUGAAACUUGAAAUUACAAGAAUGAGNNNNNNNNNNNNNNNNNNNNNNNNNNNNNNNNNNNNNNNNNNNNNNNNNNNNNNNNNNNNNNNNNNNNNNNNNNNNNNNNNNNNNNNNNNNNNNNNNNNNNNNNNNNNNNNNNNNNNNNNNNNNNNNNNNNNNNNNNNNNNNNNNNNNNNNNNNNNNNNNNNNNNNNNNNNNNNNNNNNNNNNNNNNNNNNNNNNNNNNNNNNNNNNNNNNNNNNNNNNNNNNNNNNNNNNNNNNNNNNNNNNNNNNNNNNNNNNNNNNNNNNNNNNNNNNNNNNNNNNNNNNNNNNNNNNNNNNNNNNNNNNNNNNNNNNNNNNNNNNNAAUUGUUGUUUUGAGAAAAGUUUGACCGAAGUAUUUGAAAGACUCGUUUUGUCGUGAAUCGUAAAGACCUAUGUGUUCGAUCACUUUUAACUUAUAUUUAACGCAAACGAAGACAAAUGAUUGUUUUUCAUCAAUUUUAACGUGAAGCAUGUGCAAGAUUCAUUCCUGAAAACAUGAUUUUGAAUUUUGCUAACGGUUUUAAUUUAAAUGUUAUUUAUAUUCAACACAAACGAAUAAAAAUUAUGCUUCGCGCAAACGAACACAAAUAAUUGUUUUUCCUCAAUUUUAUUUUGAAAGCGUGUGCAAGAUUCAUUCCGAAAAACACGAUUUUGAAUCUAACGGUUUUAAAUGUUAUUCAUAUUCAACAGAAACAGAUAAAAAUUAUCUUUCGCGCAAACGAACACAAAUAAUUGUUUUUCAUCAAUUUUAACGUGAAGCAUGUGCAAGAUUUAUUUCGGAAAACACGAUUUUGAAUCUAAUUAACGGUUUUAAAUGUUAUCCAUAUUCAACACAAACGGAUAAAAAUUAUCUUUUGCACAAACGAACACAAAUGAUUGUUUUUCAUCAAUUUUAACGUGAAGCAUGUGCAAGAUUCAUUCCGGAAAACACGAUUAGAAAUCUCGCUAACUGUUAUAAAUGUUAUUUAUAUUCAACACAAACGGAUAAAAAUUAUGUUUCGCGCAAAAAAACACAAAUGAUUGCGCUUUGAGUCAAUUUUAACGUGAAGCGUGUGUAAAAUUCAUUCAUGUAAACACGAUUUUGAAUCUCACAAACGGUUUUAAAUGUUAUUUAUACAAACGGAUAAAAAAUAUUAUUUUGAGAUACAUUUGAAACACCCAUUCCAUUACAAAUUCAUGAAGACCUAACAAGACAUAUAGAAAUAUCAAAUAUCUCUCAUGUUAAAUAGUAGAUUCAUCCCGAAGAAAAAUAAUUCUAAAAGAAAUCAGAGCCAACCCAACACAAUAAAAAGUCUAAGAUGAAUUUAGUAAUUUUUAAAGCAUAUAAAACAUUUUAAUUUUAAUAAAAAUAAUAAAUUUUUAUUUAAAUCUUAAUGUUAAAUUCAUUGUAGGAUACAAAACUGUUUAUUAAAUUAAUAUAACCAAGUUCAUUUACAGUAAUAUUUAUUUUUUAUAUUGAUAAUAAAGUCAAUAUUUUUAAUAACUUUUUUUUUUUAAAACUUGGUAUCCGGCCCUAUGAAUAUUUUUAAUAACUAUUGAGGCAAUAUUAAUUUUAGAUGAGGUUUAUUUAAAUUUAAAUUUGAAAUCAAUAAAAUAUGAAGUUUUUUAAUAUACCAAAGAGAGUAAUUAUAUCAGGCCUUUUAUAAAAUAAUUUUUAUUUCAAAAUAUUUUUGAAAGCCUAAAACAAGUGUGCCUUACCCUUGAGUCAGUGCUAGCAAUACAAUCUUUUUAUAAUCUUUAUAAAUGCAAUCUUAGAGUGUUGUAAUUAACUAAAUCUUGUUAUAAAAACUUCUUUUAUUUCUUAAUUAACUAAAUCUUGAGUUAUAAUCAUUAUUCAUUAGCAAGAGUGCAAAAAUUGAUGCUUUUACAGUUACAUAUAUAUGACUGCAUUGUUCAUGCUUUCUAGUGACUUGUUUGAUCUCCCCAAUGCUGGAUAGUGUGAAAUAACUAGGCACUAAUAACUCAAACUUUUAUAAUGAUUACUAUGAAAUUUCUUAAGUAUACAUUUUCACAUCGUGUAAUAUUAAUUAAUUUUACAGUAUAUUUUUGUAAGUGUAAUUCCCCCAAAUUAAAAUUUGACAUAUAAUCUUGACCCAAAAAAUAAAAUAAAAUUUGACAUAUAAUUAUACAAGUGGUAUUUAAAUUUGAAUAAAUAUAAUUUUUUUUACUACUUUAUCAAAUAUUUUUUUUUUACCAAUGUUCAAACUUCAAAGAAUGUGUGCAUUAACUCGUUCAUUUUAAACACACUUUAAAUUAAUUUAACACAGCAAUUGCACCGUAAAAAUUAUCACGAGUCAAUGAAUCUGAGAAUGAAAUUUUUACUUAGAUUCAACGACUUCAACACGAUAUAUUUUACUUUACGGUGCAACCACUUGAAUAGAAGAUGAAACAGUUUGAAAUCUGCAACAAUAUUCAUUCAAGGUUGCUUGCUACUCUACUCUAUCUAUAUCUAUCUGUCUUAGUUUUGCAUGAAACUCACAAAAAAAUAAUGAGUUUUUGUUUUUUUGUACCGCUGUAGCUGUACCUGAGAUUCCUCUCGCAAAAUAUGCAUUCUAAAGCAUAUUUCUUAGUUGGCAAACCCCAAAGAGUGUGUCUAUAGUAUUAAAGAUAAGUUACUUUUGUAACUGAUAAUUUUGGUUUUGCAAUAUGAUGAGUACUCUUGAAGAGUUAUGAAAUCACACCCUCACACUCACAAAUCACAAUACACGUCUCUUCAUGCAUGCACACCAACAUGUCUCAUGUGACCAAUAGUUGUGUGACUAAUAUUGCACCUUUUCAUUUCCUUAGUACUAUUUAUACUAACCAAAGUUUCCUAAAUUGAACAUAUAAACACCAUUGUUUUUUGUUUCCAUCAUGGAUCCUUCUGCUUCUUCUUCGAAUUCUUCAACCAUUGUAACCCUUUCUCAUGAGGAUUUUCUUCUGUUCCAUCAAAUGGACAGAGACCUCUAUAGUAUACUUGUUAAUAAUCUUUCUCGUGACCCUUUAGAGUCCAUGCAAUUGCUUUCUCUAUGGCUUUGGCUAGAAAGAGUUGGUUUUCGCAGCGUUGUGAAAAAUAUCAUGGCUUUGCCUGUUAUUUUGAUCAAUGAAAUUGCUGAUGAAUCAACUAUAUGUCUAAGUUAUCUUGUCAAUACCAACAACAACACUUGUUUGAUUCCAUCACUAUCUCCGGCUUCGGAAUCUAAUGAGAUUCCUCUUCUUCAAAGCAUAGUGAAAGAAGAAAUUACUCUGAAACUCUUUCUUGAGAAUCGCGCGACAGUGAUUCAAGGGAUAGAGAGUACAAAACAAGACAUUUGUUUAAAAGCUUUGAGUGACAUCAUGCAAGAAGCCAUGAUGAGGGACAUGGCGGAACGAAUGGUUGAGCAUAACAAUCUUUUGUUCGGUUCAUUAGGACCGGCAAAUCUGCAGUUUGGUUCGGUUGGUGGAAGUGGGAUUGCUGGUGCAAUAGUCCCACAACAGAUCUACAACAAUGGAGGAGGGUUUGUUGCGCCCGAUGACAGGACAUUGUUCGUGACAUUUUCGAAAGGGUAUCGCGUUGAAGAAUGGGAAGUUAGAAAUUUUCUUACAAUGACUUUUGGAGAUUGUAUUGAAAAUUUCAAAUUUCAAGAAACUGCAAACAAUGAACAACCACUUUUUGCUAGAAUUGUUUUUCACAAUGUGAGUACUAUUCAAAUGAUUCUGGGAGGGGCUUCUAAAGUGAAAUUUACAAUCAAUGGGAAACAUGUUUGGGCAAGAAAGUUUGUUCCAAAACGAGGAAGGAUGAUGCAAUUGCAAGAUACUUUUGGUUUUGGUAAUGCUGGAUUUGGGAUGUAGAGACAAAAUCUCAUGUUUAUCGAUCUUUUGUAUUGUUCUGUGUAAGGUGGUUUCAGAAAGUUUGCUUUUCAAUGAUGUAUGUUCUAUGAUAUCAUCUAUGUACUUUGUAUUUAAUUUGCAUCAAUAAAAUUGUCUGUUUUAAAAAAUAUCAAAAAUCAAAUAUAUAUCUAUGCAAGUUUUUUGAUUAAUUUGUUGUACAGGUUUAUUAUGAAGAUUUUGGAUGGGUGCAAGUGCAACUUGUGCUAGCUGUGUCUCUAAUACUUGGAAUUAAAUUUUAUCGAAGAAGAGAUUGCUGUUAAAUGUAAGAAAAUAGGGUUUUAAAACUACUGUUGUAACGACUAAUAUCGUCCACGUAAAAAUUGUAUAUAGUUACACGCUGUUUUCAAUCUCAAUCAUUGAUUGAAAAUAAAAAUAAGAUGGUUCAUAUUACAUAUUGAUAAAUGCGUGAAUACAACAACCGUCAAUUGCAAGGAAGCCAUAUCCGUAGAUUUGAGGUUUAAUUUGGACUUUGUGUAUGAUUUAACUUUAUAAUUUAAAAUACCGAACUUGAAUCUAAAUUAUUUGAUUUUGAUCAAACGGUAAAUGAUGUUAAUGCAUGAAUAAGACUUCCGAUUGCAUGAAGCCAAAUCUGUAAAUUUGAUGUCCUCUAUUCACUUUCUUAGCAUAUAAUGGCUACGUAAAGUAACUCUCGUAAAAAAUGAUAUAUUUUUCUUUAGUGAUCAAAUUAAGGUAUAUUUUUAAUUAGUAAUUUAUGCAUUUGUUUGUUAAGUCUAUAAUGUGUUUUUCUAUCAAUUGAAAAGUUAUCUUUUAUACGAAGAAACGAGGGGAGGGGACUGCUAAAACAAUAAAUUGAAGCCGAGAGAAAUAUGAUUCAAUGGAAGCAGAGAAGAGAAUGAAAAAUUCAAUUGAGAGAGGAGAACACACCAGUGGCUUUGUUCAUCUAACAACUCAUAUAUAGAGGAGAAAUAUGGGUAGUGUAUUUUUUUGGGUUACCAUAUGUUUUUUAGUCAAAAAUCGAACCCCGAUCAUAUACUUAAGUGACCCCGAGACCAUUACCACUUACAUCAAUUUAUCGUUGGUUGGGUGGAGUAUUUAUUCGAUGCAUAUGAAAUGAGGCGUGAUCAUGAAUUAAAUUAGCAACCGAUUGUGUUUUGGAGAGAAAUUGCAAGUGAUGUAGCACAAUGACGUGAUAUGAUUGGAUGAGGUGUUUAAAUAGUGAUUUUUCAUUAUUUCAGCAUAUUAGGGUUAACCUAAUCAGUUGCACCCAACUUAUAUAAUCAUUGUUUUAAGGACUCCAUAAAAAUAUUAUAAGUUUAAUAAAAAAUAUGUCUACUUUAAUUUAUAUUUAGUGCAAACGUGCAUAAAUGAUUGAUCUGAGUCAAUUUUAACUCGGAAUAUGCAAGAUUUAUUCUGAUAGAUAUGAUUUUGAGUCUUGUAAAUAACCUAAAAAAAUGUUUCUUAUAUAUUCAACACAAAUGAAUAGAAAUUAUUGUUUUGAGAAAAGUUUGACCGAACUAUUCGAAAGACUUGUUUUGUGACGAAUAGUAAAGACCUAAAUGAUUGUGUUCAUGCUUUAACUUUUAUUCCGUGCAAACGAACACUUGUUUUGAGUCAAUUUUAACUUAAAGCAUUUGCAAGAUUCAUUCUAGUGGACACCAUUUUGACUUCCGCAAACGGCCUAAAUAAACAAGUAUAAUAUCCGUGUUUGAAUGUUUCGUGUAUUCAACACAAAUAAAUACAAAUUAUUGUUUUUAGAAAAGUUUGACCGAAACAUAAUUUGAAAGACCUAUGUAUUCACUUUAACUUAUGUUUAGCGCAAACGAGCACAAAUGAUUGUUUUGAGUCAAUUUUAACUUGAAGCAUAUGAAAGAUUCAUUUUAGAGGAUACGACAACUUAUGUUUCACGCAAACAAGCACAAAUAGUUGUUUUAAGUCAAUUUUAACUUGAAACAUGUGCAAGAUUCAUUCUGACAAACACGAUUUUGAAUCUCGCUAACAAUUUUAAAUGUUACUUAUAUUCAACACAAAUGGAUAAAAAUGAUUGUUUUGAGAUGCAUUUGAAAUACCCAUUCCAUUAAGAAUUCAUAAAAACUUAACAAAAUAAGUACAUGAUUCUCUACACCUAUAUACUAAUUACAAGAGUACAUAUAAAAAUAUUAAAUAUCUCUCUUGUUAAAUAAUAAAUUCAUCUUCUGGAAGAAAAAUACUAUAGUUCCUCUAAAAGAUAUCGGAGCCGAUCCAACAUAUAAGAGGUUUAAGAUGAAUUUAGUGAUUUUUAAUAAUAUUUUUUGAAACAAUUUAACGGUAAGUUAUAAAAUAUAGAGAUUUAAGCUCUAUUUGGGAAGAUCAAUAGGUAAGCUUAUAUAGCUUAUAAUUAUAAGCUAAAAGCUCUGUUUGGUAAUAGUUUUUAAAAAAGAGCUUAUAGCUUAUUUUUGAAAUGUUAUUUUAAGUAGCUUAUGACCUUAUAACUUAUCAUUUUUUUCUUUCAAUUUUACCCCUAUCAUCUUACUUGAAAAAAUUAAAUAUUAAUUAAACAUAUAUUUUUAUGUCAUUUCAUACUUAUGAGCUAGUUCAACCGCUAAUUUUACCAAUCAUUACACAUUCAAUCAGUUAGCUUAUUCGCUAUAAGCUAAAAGCUAGCUUAUAAACUGAUCCGUUAUAAGGUAGCUUAUCAACUAUCCGCUUUUUUUUACCGAACAAAACCUUAAUUGAUAUUAAAUGAUUAUUAAAUAUAAAUAUCAAUUUUAGUGUAAAAUAUUUGUCCACUACAUUCUACAACUCACUUUCAAGGUAUCUGUGGAGGAAUAGUUAAUUCUUGUUGGACUUCAUGUAAAAAUAUUUUACACCUAAACUCUAUUUUAAAAAAAAAAAAAAUCAUUUUAUUCUGUCAAAAAAAAAAAUUCAUUUUAUUUUAUUUUUGACGCAUUUUAAAAUAUUGAUAUAAAAAUGUGUUUUUUUUUUACUGAAUUAGAGAAGGUUUAAUUGAUUCCUUUUUAUCUGAGACCGACCCUUAGGAAUUGGAAGAAGAAAAUCAAUAGCAAUAGCAAUAGCAAUCGCAUCAGGAGUGAUAAUAAUGGAUUCGGUGUCGAACGUGGAGGAACCUGCAAGUNNNNNNNNNNNNNNNNNNNNNNNNNNNNUUCGUCUUGCUCUCAAUAUGGAGGUAAGCUUUUUCUCUUUUUCUUCUUCUACUUUCAUAUUAUUUUACACACACUUCUUUCAAUGUAAUUUUGUUGCAUGUCUAAUAAUUGAUGUUCUUAUAGUUACCUAGUUAGAUUGCUUUUCAUUUCAGGUUGCUGUUUUAUUUAUAACUACAUAGGUUGUUUAUGUUAGUUAGUUACUUAGUUAGUUAGUUAGUUAGUUAGUUACUGUGUUGAAUUUGUUGGGAGAGGCCAAGUUUGUUGAGUAUCUGAAUUCUGAAAUAUUCGCAACUGUUAUUGUUUAUCUGUUCGCCAGAUACCCCAUUGGUAUAACCAUUAAGGAAGACCUCUACUUAUAGAACUUUUCAUUCUAAAUUAUGAACCAGUAUCUAUCAGGGGAACUUAAGAUUACUGUUUUGUAGCUUGAACCGCUAAUAUUUAGUCCCUUUGUUUCUUUUAGUUGUUGUUUUAAGAUUAUUUACAAAAUACAAAGUGUUCUUGCCCGAGUUAUUUUAUGGACAUCAACCUGAAAUUUGAGAAUCUGUGUAUUUGGUGAAAGAAGCGCGUAUAUGAGUCAAGAUGCAUUGGUCCAAGCAGCAUGGGACUGAGUUUUUCUCCCGACGUUCAGAGAUAGUCACUACAACUUUAUACAGAGAAAACCUGAGGCCUAGGAUUGUUUUACCGGGCGCCAAAUGUUCUCCCUUGAUCAAAUCCUCGAUCAAGUCCUAGAGGGCUUGCGCCAGAGGUUUAGAUUCCUUAGGCCUCAGGUGUGCGAUUUUCAAACUCAAAGACUUGAUCGAGGAUUUGAUCAAAGAAGAACACCAAGCGAACUAAUAAAUUUUGUUUUGUUUGAUUUGAUGAAAUUAUUGUCUUUUUUCAUAUAAAACCUUAACUAUUUAUUAUUCCAGUCUACUUAUUUCUCUCUACGAUAAAUAGUUAAGGGUAUUAUUGACAAAACAAUAGUUAAUAUUGCGUGGAAUUUUGAAAACGACAAAUAAAUAUGAACAAAAUUCUUUCACAAAGGCGACAUUUUAAAAGGAAUGGAGGGGUAAAUGAUACUUUAUUAUCAGUUCAUCUUGCAUGGUACAUAAACUAGAUUAUUCUUUGUUUCCAAAUUCUAAUUCUACUGUGACCAUAUGGUUAGAUAUUGCCAUUUAUCCUGUCUUUGUGGUUAAACUCAUCUGUUCCUUGGAUACAAGAAGUUUCAACGAUAACUCUAAAUUAAUAAGAGUGCUUCUCUGUGAAGUUUAACUGUUUAUAUAGUUGGAUGGAGCUCUUCAGUUAAUAGGUUAAUGUUUGUGGUUUUUUUGUUUCCUAGUCAAUUAUUCUGAUAACGCUGCUACUUAUUCAGGAGAUUGAUUUUUUUUUUUUAAUUUUUUUUUGCGUGUGCGUGCAGAUCUAUAAUGCUCCAAUCAACGAAUGUCAAGCAAAGCUUAUAUUUAAGCCUUUGACACCUGAAUGGAAAUGGAAGUUCAUUUAUGAGCCAAUUCAGCAUGAUGUUCGUAUUCUCUCAAAAAAGAUCCCAAUUACUAAAUUUCUGAAUCUUCAGGUUUGUUGAUGUCCGUUUCUUUUGGUUUUUUUUAUCAUGACAUGGCUAUCAUGUUUACAUUGAUCAUUGCAAAAAUGUUUAAAAAUAGAUAAAUGUGGCUUUUAUUAUGUGCUUGUAUGUAUUAAUUCCACUGUGGUAUUGUCGAUGCCAUGAUAAGUUAUGAUCUCCCAUUUUCUGUUAAAUUUCGUUUGAAGCGACUCACACUGACAUAAUCAGCACAGGUUGGUGUAGGACACAGUUUUAAAAUGCAUGCUACUGGUUGGAAAUGGAAGCUCACCACAUGUUUGGGUGGAGAUAAUGUAUCCCGAAUCCGAAACAAGACAUCGGUUGGUGUGUUCCCUGGCUUUGAUUUACGGUUCGGAUGGAGGGCAGAAUAUGUUCUUCCUGAGCUUACUGGGUAAGUUUUGUAAUCUUGUAUUUUGUUUUAUCACUGUUUAGAAAGCAUGCACCAAGGUAAAUGAUUUUUUCAUGAGCUUACGAUACAUGUUAUAUUUGUUUUCUUUCAUGCAAUUAUUUCAUGAAUGAUUGGUUAAUUUAAACUUUAAACAGGGGUCUAGGUACUGGUGAGCCAAUGUUCAAUAUGCAGUCAGGACGGCUACAUGCAUCACUUGAUAGAGUUGAGGCCAUCAUAACCCACAGCGAAAAUAAAAACUGCCAAUCCCUUGCGGAAGAAGUUUUAACACCGGUGGUAGAUAGGACACAAGAAUAAUUCUAAAUGGUUUCUGAUCCUUUUUUUUCUUCUUUCAAAUUGAUUGCUCCUUUAAUUUUUCAAGAAGGGUUUAUUUAAAAGAAAUAUACUACUGUCUAGUAUGAUGAUUUGUCUGCACUGGAGAGUGUAUUUUUCUGGGAAUAUAUGCAUUAUUUAUUAUAGUCUAAACGUGAUUUUCACACUGAAUUUUAUUGUUCAAGUAACUUUUACAUAAAUGUAUUCAAACAUAAACCAAACAUUCAAUUCACUUUUAAUUAAAAUCAAUUUUACAAAAUCAACUCAUUCAAAAUAAAAUAACAAAUCAUCAUGAAACCAUACAUGCUAGAAGUUUCAAAGUGGGGUUUAGACUGAUACUGAUACUGGUUUAUUUGAAUUUUGUGGCAUAUGGCCCAACUCAACUGUAUGAAAUUAUGAAGCAGUUGAUGGGAGAAAAAUUACUCAAUGUAUACAAACGGCUAUUUGCUUUGUGGACACGUUAUUGCAACAGAGUCAAGUUAAACUUGCUUUGCUGGUUUGAUGAUUUGUACAUGUGGCUUUUAUUAGUAUUCUUUAGAUCCAAAUUCAUGAUGUUCCUAAUUGCUUAUUUACUCCACAUAUUGGUUGUCUUCAAACUUAAAUUGGGAUAAAAGUGAUUCAAACUUGUUUCAUAUAUACAGAGGGUUAUUUUCCAUGAUAAAAAUUAUCCUAAUAAUCUUUGUAUGUUAUUAUCAUAUGUUUAUUUAAAUUGUGUUAUUUGAACAUUAAAAUAUUGUAUGUGAACACGGUUCACACUGUAUACAUUUAUUUUUAUCUCUUUUAUUACUUUUUAUUUUCUACAACUUAUAUAUACAGAAAAAUCAAGUGACAUUAUUAUAUCUAAUGUAAAAAGUUUAAGAGUUUAAUGAACAUGUUUUGUCAGUGUAAAGUGUAAAUUAUUCUUUCAUAAACGACCAAUAUGAAUAAGUUAUCUUCAAUAUCAUACCAUUAAAUUGCGGUGUAGUGUAGAAAAUUGAAGAAAUACAUGGCUACUAUUCAAUAACAAUGUGAAAUUAUUUUACAGUGUCGGUGCAUAUCCUAUUUUAUCGAAGUUUGGAGUUUAAUGGACAUGUUUUGUUAGUGUAAAUUAUUUUUAUAGGGACAUCCAAUAGGAAUAAGUUACUCUUCCACAUCAUACCAUUGAAGUAGGAUUUUUUUUUUGUGUACAUGCCUUUAUUAUUAUUAUAGGAAUAUACUAGUAUACUUUUUUGAUAGCUAUAAUAUAUCUUAGUAAUUGUUAGACUAUCAACAAUGGUUGAAAGUUUAAAUCCCAACUUUUUUACUUCCUAAUACUCCACGUCAUUUUCUCUCUCUUCUACAUAACAAUUAAACUAUUAUUCAACUUUUACUCCUACAAUGGUUUUGUUUAAACCAAAUAUUCUAUCUUCCACCCAGAUAAUCUAUUCUUUAAAUGAGCCAACACCGGUUCCCAGAAAAUCAGACGCCUCGAAUCGCCACCAAUAGGAAGGCCCAAAUAAAGGAAAGGACACUUUCCCACUUUACAACUUAAAUUUUAUUUUAAGAUAAUGAAUAUUUUUAUUUUUAUAUAAUAUUUAAAAUUAUUAUUCUUCCUUAAUUUAUCAACUAAAUAUGACAAUAAUUUUUUAUUAUUAUUAUUAACUCAAUUAAAAUACGCAAAAACAACUCGAUUAUAGUAAAAAUUGUUACACACGAAAUAAUAAAAAGAGAAAGAAGUGUNNNNNNNNNNNNNNNNNNNNNNNNNNNNNNNNNNNNNNNNNNNNNNNNNNNNNNNGAAAGUAUAUCAAACCAUACCUCUAUUUAUAGAGUUUUAAAAAUUAUUAAUUUUGAUAUUUAAAAAAAAAAUUGAAAAAAAUAUGCUAUGGAAUAAUUGCCCAAAAAGUAUUAGAAUAAAUAAAAAUAUACACAACCAAUCAAAAUAUUACACAUAUAUAUAUUUUAAAAAAUAAAACGAAAAAACAAGAACCACUUCCCUCUUGAGCAAGUGAACCACGAGUGAACCACACUUGCUGGAGGUGGCCUCUCAGCUUGCGCCAUGUGUCCAUUCCACUCCCUCACCUUUCCACUUUCCACUCUCCCACUUUCCCUUUUUUUCACUUUCUCACCUUUUCUCUCCAUUCAACCGAGUUGAAUUUUUUCAUCCUCUCUCCCCUCCAACUCAUUCAACCAUAGUAUUAAUAUCCACCAAUGUAUGCAAUCAACUCCUAUUUUGGGGUUUAAUACCCACCAUUGUAACUAGUCUUACAACAUGGCUCCAAACAUGAUUAAAAUUUGAAAUGAUUCUAUCUACAAACAACGCGUUUGUUUAUGAAGUGCAAAUUUGAUUUCACCUUAUUCGAGGCAGUUUGAAUACCUGGGGAGGGAAUAUUGCACAAAAAAGUGGGGUCUGCCUAAUGCUAGCCGUUACAUCAAUCUUUAACGGUACCUUUCAACCUCUCUAUAAUUAACUCAAUUUCUCUUUCAAAAACCAAAAACCAAAAACCAAAAUGGCUUCUUCCAAGACUAGAAAAACAUGUUCCUUCACCAUCCUCCUUCUAUGUUCUUUGAAUUUCACACUUUUCAUCCUUUCUGCUACAUCAUUUGCACCAACCAUUCUCCUUAAAAUGCCGCCAACGUCGUUCGGCAUGGCAUUCCUAAUGGUUUCCACCGUCUCACUUUUCUCGUCUUUCGUCGGUUUCUAUUCACACCUCACACACUUGUGUUUUCUCACUCACAUUUCCCUCGCACUUGCCUCAUUGAUCGGACAAACUCUCACUAUAAUCGCUUUGUUUACCAAAGAGAAUGCAAGCCUCAAAAUGAUAAAAUCUUCAAGGGACUCAAAAGAAGCUAAAGUUUUGAUAAGACUUGAAUGUGGUGCUUUGAUGGCUAUGUGUAUGUUGCAGUUUGUUGUGUUGGUGUUGAGUUGUAUUGUGCAUAGUUGUGUGGUGAGAGAUUAUGAAGAAUUUGAAGCAGAGAAAAAGGCUAUUGCAAGGAAAAGGAGUAGAAGAAUUUCUGAAGUGCAAGAGGAAUCAACUGCAAAUGUGAGUAAGAUUGACGAAAUUAAAGAUAAGGAGUUUGGUGAGAAAAUAAAAACCAAUUAUGGACAGUGGGUGAAGACUGAUUUAGAACCAUGAGACAAAUUCUCAAAUAUCUUAAUUCCUAUCCUAUGUAGUAGACAUUUGCAUAAUUGAUUUUAUGUUCUUCUUCAGUUGCUUGUUAUUGUCACUAUGGUGUGGCUUUUGAAUUUCAAUGUGUUAGAAUUCCAUGUAGAAUUGUGAUAUGGGGAAUUUCUAUUGCUAAUUUUCUACAAUAUUAUUAUUGAGUAAUAACAAUUUGCCAUUCCGUGUUUUAUAGGCUUUUUCUUAAUGAAUGUAGUUAAGUAAAUUGAAAAUUUUAAUUUCCCUUUGAAAGUAUUAUUCCCUAACCACAACUAUAUGCAUCAGAAUCCUCUAAGUCAAGGAUUAUAUACACCUUCUACACACUGUAAUUAAGAUGUUUGGACUAAGUGCAUGUUUGAAUUGUCUGUGAGAUUGACAAAAUUAUAGUGAAUCAAAAGGUUUCCAAUUUGAAGAAGAGCAUGACCUAUCUUCUUGCUAAUAGGAUGGUAUUUCUCAAAGAACACAAGAGAUGAGUUUGUGAAGUUAAAAUGUUAGAUGGGUCUAUGAGUGAUCAAGGAGCUAAGGCAACAUGUAGUGGUGUUGUGCGUAAUUCGGAUGGAUGCUUCAUUUGCAGUUUCUCGUCCAGUUUGAAGAGCUUUCAACAAAUCUUGAACGAGUGCAAAUGUUGAAGGACAAAGGCUUCGUGAGUAGUAGUAUUUGCUAAGCUAACAAUGAUUACAUGUAAGAAAAAUGAAAACUAAUAAGUUUAUAAGCUAAUUUAUGAGCCUUUGCGUUGAAUCGGUCAAAAAAAUUAUUUGGGACUAGAAAAUUGCAAUUAGGGAUGGACAUAACUUAACAUGACAAAUUGAAAAAUGGAUUAAUCCAAGCAACACAUUACAAGUGUGUAUCAGUGUAUGCAUAUAUUAAAUAGCUCAAACAUAGCUCUGAUGAAAUAAAUAAUGUUCUGCAUAAUAUUCAUUGAUUACUGGAAUGAUUAUGCAUCAUUUAAAUACUAUAAUGUAACAAUGUGACAACAUGAGGAUCGUUCUUCAUUUACCUCGUCAUUCAUUAACAUGUUGAUCGUUCUUCAUUUACCUCUAUUUAGAAAACUCAAAACAAACUACUAAUAAGACUUAAAUAAAUUAUACUAAAUAAAAAGGAAUCCAAAUCAAUAUUUGCCGGACAAUAGCACAUUCUAAAUGAUUGAAAAAUUAAGCUUCAGAGUGUUACUUCAGCAGCACCUUCCAUUGCAGCAGCCCCUUUCUCUUGCCAUACAAGGAAUAAUAUCUGCAAAAGUUUAAUUAUGUCAUCAUGUAUUUGUUUGAGCAUGUUUGACUUUCAAUUUCAUAAUACCGUGACUUAAAUCUAUAAUGAAAUGGUUAUUUGCUAAAAUAAUAAGAUAUGUAGCAUUUGAUAGUUUUAAAAUCUAUACACAGGUUACUCUUAGAGGCAUCAAACACAAUCAAUUCUGGUAGAACCGAGCUAACUAUAAAACAUUGAUAGCACAGACACAUUGCUGUAUAGUAUUUAUUCAUGAAAGAAGGGAACAAGAACAACAUUAACAUAGGGAAAUUUCAUAAUUGCAUGCGGUACUAAGAAAAAGAUCGAAAAACAUGUUAAAGUCAGUCUGUUAUAGCAGCAAAUACAGAGCUGGAAGCACAAGAAAACUAGAUAUGAACACAAAAGAUUAAAAGAGAUGCAGCAGAGUACAAGACAUACAACAUUGAGAUGUUUUUCAAAAUAAAUGUGAUUGAAUAAGGCCAAAGUGUUGAGCCUUAAACCAUUCGAGCUUCACGAAACAUUAAAUCAAGCGCUGUGUAUCAGUGUAUACGUAUAUUAAAUCGCUUAAACAUAAUAGCUCUCAAAUAAAUAAUGUUCUACAUAAUAUUCGUUAGGCCAAGCUCAAUGUGAGAAGGGGUGACAAAGAGUAGUGUGGAGAUGGCGUUGUAAAACAUUAUAGAUAAUAAAUAAAAAAUCAAUGACAAAUACACAACACAAUAUUCAUUGAAUUGAAUGAUUAUGUAUCAUUUAGAAAACUCAAAGCAAACUAAGUGAGACAAUAGCACAUUCUAAGUGUUUGAAAAAUUAAGCUUCACUGUUACUUCAGCAGCACCUUUAUGUAUUUCUCUUGCCAUAGUAUCCAUAUGACCAUACAAGGAGUAAUAACUGUAAAAGUUUAUGCAGACAAGUAAGAUUCAUACAAGACAAUAAAAUUACAAUUCAUAUGUCCAUUAAAUCAUGUUAUCAUGUAUUUGUUUGACCAUAUGUUUGACUUUCAAUUUCAUAAUACCGUGACUUAAAUCUAUAAUAAUGAAAUAGUAGGUUACAAAUUAAACAUAGACAGCAAGUUAAAAUUAAGAAUUAUUAAGGAAAGUAUCCAGCUAAGCAUAAAACUUCAUUAUAUCUCUAGACAACAAAGAUGAUGAAUUAAUUAAACAAUGAACACGACAGUAUGUUGUUCACAGAAUCACAGGAACUGAUGUUUGUGGAUAAACUUCAAUAAGAAAUCUAACUAUAAACAAUGUUUCCCGAAUCCUAUCAUGAUUUAAUUAGACUUAAGUUAACACCAAACAGAAAGCUGAUAAAUGAUAAAAGAUUGCAAACUAAGACAUUUAUAUUAGGAAAAUCUUGAUGAACAAAUAAGACAAAUUCAUUCAUUUUAUUACAACCAAACUUCAAUAUGGGUGAUAAAUAAUCACCCAAGCGGCUAAGCUAUCACACACAAUCUACUAUUAUUAACUAACAAGUAUUUUAAAAAAAACAUACAUGAACAAACAUAAAGUCAAACAAGUAAUAUGUGAAAGAGAAACUCACUAUUAAUUAGUCGGAACCAAACUUUCAACAUAAUCCAUGGCAUACAUCCACCCUAUAUUAUUGGUAAGUGCUAUUUUCUCUUUUUUAUUACCUAUGCAGCUAUAGAUAAAUAUCUCUCUGUAUAUAUCAUCUGCCUCUGCCCAUAUGAGUGUAUCGCCAUUCCCAGAAAGAUACAAUGGCAACCAACGCACCACAAAUCCAAUGCGUUUCUCAUAUCUAACUUUAAAUAAUUGAAUCCAAGAGUUUUGAACUCCAAAGUCCUUCAUUUGCCAUAUAACAAAAUGGGUUUCCUCAAAAUCAUGACAAAAACAAAGACGGUCCCCCAAAAGCACAAUCAUUGGCCCGUCGACGUCAUCCAAACCCAGAGGUAGCAACAGGUGAGUGUAGGUCUCAGUGGAGAGAUCAAGUGAAAGAAUGACAUAUUGGUUGUCAACAUUGUGAUAGGCCAGCCAGUUAAUAGUACCAUUGAAAUGCACACCAUCAUCAUGACACGGAAUCAAAGGGAAACAUUGAAGAUCUCUCCAAGAAUUAUCGCCCAAGCUGAAAACUUUGACCUUAUUACAACCAGACUCCUCCGCACAGAACGCCACCACCUUAUAAGUUUGAGAUGAAUUAUCAUAACCAAAAGAGAACAUAUUACAAUUAAGGUCACAAUCAAAUACCAUAAAUUCAUUAGAUUUUGUUCUCGUAGCUGGGUUCCAGAAACAAAGGCAGUGUUCAUCAGAAGAUGAAAUACUAAGCACGCAUAGCAAUCCAUUGCAUGAACCAACAAUCUUCCUUAUUAUUAUCGAAUCGUCGUUCAAAUCGUCGUUCAAUCGAUAGUAAGGAUCGCUGAUGGCAUAUUGAUUUUGGGUUUGGAUUCCAAGUACAUAAGGAAUGGAGAGAGUUAUCAAACGGUAAUCCUCAUCAUACUUGUCUAAAUUGCGGUACCACGGUAGUGCCAGGUUCGAAUUUCGUCUCGAUUUAUUGAGAUGCAUUCGAACGAAGUGAGGAUCAAAGAUUAAAGUUUUGAAAAACUUGUUAACGCACCUCAAUUGUAUAAUAUGUUUCACAGGAAGCCAUGAUAUGAUUUCUAACAUUAGUUCGUCGGGGAAGAUCGCUGAAUUGGGAUGACGCCGCCGCUGCAUCGCUUCCUCGAUCGAUUGAAUUUGAUUGAACCCUAGUAGAGCAGAGCAGUAGUAACCACCAAUUUAUAGGGUAUUUUAGAAAGUAGUGCGCAAUCUUCUGAAAGAAAAAAGAAAAAUCGAUAGUUUUCUUUUAUAAAUAACUGUUUAUGGGCAUAUAUUUUUUUGGAAAAAUUAGUUUCUUAAAGGUCACUCUAACUUAUAUUUGUUUUACUUUUAAAACAGAUUUGUUUAUAAAGUUAGGCAUAUAUUUUUAUUUUAUUUUUAAAACAGAUUUUAUUUUUUAAAUCUAUACUAAUCAAAGUAAAAAAUAUAUUUGGUGUUCUCACGUUGCUUCUCAAUGAACAAAUUCUUAUGUGACAUUUUUUUUAAUAAUUUAAUCUAAUGUGACGUCUACGUGUCUUUUGUUUUUUUUUUUUAUCUUUUAUUAAAUCUAUGAUUUUUUUUUACAAAUAAAUCUAUGAAUCUAUUAUAACAAAAAGAUUUUUUAUUAAAUCUAUGAAUAUAUUAUAACAAAAAAAAUAUGAAUCAAUUAUAUUAAAAAAAAAAACAUGGCUAGAUCAAUUCAUUAACAAAAAAAGAAAAACAAUAUAGAGGAUUAGUAUAACUCAAAAUAACGAUGUAUCAUAGCUUCAUGAGGAUUAGUAGCAUAACUCAAUAAAUAAAAACCAUGUAGCUUUUUUUUUAUUUUAUCAAUUUGACUUAAAUUUAUCUUAAUUAAUUUUUUUUUUGAGAAUUAGCAUAACUAAAAAUAAAACGAUGUAUUAGCUUAAGAUCAAUUUGACAAUUUGAUUUUAAUCUAUAUCUAUAUUCUAUAUUUAUAUCUAUCUAUACUAUAUAUAUUUGCCUUGCUCAAGGUAAAAAGUACACUUGGCGUUCUCACGUUGCUUUUCAAUGAACAAAUUUAUAAGUGGCAUUUUAUAAUCUUAUGUGACGUCUACAUGUCUUCUCUUUUUUAAUAAUUUUUUUUAUCUUUUAUUGAAUCUAUGAUUUUUUUUUUUGCUACAAUGAAUCUAUUAUAACAAAAAAAACUAUGAAUCAAUUAUAUAAAAAAUAUACUCAAANNNNNNNNNNNNNNNNNNNNNNNNNNNNNNNNNNNNNNNNNNNNNAAAAAAAAAAAACGACGGAUCACAAUUAAAUUUAACUAUAUAUCAUAGCUAUGUAACUCAAAAAAAAAAAAGACAAAGAUUAGCAUAACUAAAAAAAACAAACGAUUUAUUUGCAAUUGAUGUGGAGGAUUAUUCAUAACAGGUUACCGAUAAGAGAAGCUUUGUUUAAACGAGGUGUAAUUUGCUCCCCACUUUGCUGCUUGUGUGAUGGAACGAAUGAGUCAAUUGAUCAUUUAUUUAUGGGUUGUGACUGGACGAAAACAGUGUGGUUUGCUUCAAACUUGAGUGUUAAUUUUGCUGCUUAUUGUGAGGCCACAAUCUCAUUUAGUGAAUGGGUGAGCAAAGUUAUCAUGCAUCACGACAUAGAAGUUGUGCAAUUGGUGUUAUCUAUAUGUUAUGGAAUAUGGAAGGUGAGGAAUACACGGUGCUUUGAAGAAGCUGAAUUGCCUAAUGCCUUAUCUUGUUGGAAUAAUGCUCAUAAGUCUAUUAGUGAGUUUAAUUCCAGAGCUGAUAUGCUAAUUCAGUCUAUAAUGCAUCCCAUUCCAAUGCCGGACUCCGCAAUUCGAUGGACUUUACCCGACACAGAUUUUUACAAGCUUAAUGUGGAUGCUGCAGGUCCAAAUAAUGAUGGUAAUUGGGGAUUGGCUGCAGUUAUUCGUGAUGCAGACGGAUGUGUUGUCGCAAAAACUUUCUCUCUUUUCAUGGUACAUUUUUAUUUUAAAUUUUAUGUUUAAUUUUUUGGGUAACCAUGUAUAUUUAUUUUUCCUUUAAUUAUAUGUUCCGCCAAGUUAGAUGAUUUCAUGGCAAUUUAAUAAUAGUUGUAAUAUCUCUUAAAAAAAUAAUAUAAUUUAACAUAACAUAAUUUGUUCAAAUUUAUUUUAGUUAAGGAGAAUGAUAUAAUAAUCUAAUAAAGCAUGAUCUGUUCAUACUUUUUUUUUUAAUUUGCAACAAUAUAGAAUAUAAUUUAUGUGAUAAAGUUGUUCUUCGAUCCUAAUUUUGAUGUAGCUAAUGAAUGAAAGAAAAGGAGAAUUUUAACCCACCCGGGAGUGUGUUCCUCCUUAGGGUCUCAAGUUCGAUUCUCUCUGGUGUCAAUUUGUGUGGACUAAUUUAGCUUCUUCAAAAAAAAAAAAGGUGAAUUCUCUAAAUAUUAAAUAUUUCAUUUAAUUUCAAUUAAUAAUUAAUAAUAUUAUAAUUUAUAUUUUGAUAUCAUUAUGUAUGAAAUAGGACAAUUGAAAAGAACCAUAACAUCUUCUGGAGUAUGUUUGAUACAAGACGUGUCAAAGAUAAGCGAUGAAGAAGAUUUCUUAUAGCUUACGUCGAAGAAUACUGUUGAAAGUCUCAAAGAAUGUAACAAGAUUGAGAAAACUAUCAAAAUUGAGGCAAUAAUGUGUCUACAUCAGUUUUUUAUUUAUUUUUUAAUAAUGCGCCUACAUCAGUUAAAUUAUUGAAAACAAUCAAGAUUGAAAAAGUUAACAAUAGAUGGUUGAUAAUUUAUUCUUUUAAUUUAAUUUAUUAUAUUUUGGUAGGAUGCUUUUGAUUUAAUUUUCAUCACACUUAUAUUAUUUUGGUUUAGUUUAUUAGAUACUUAUUUUUUAUUAUAAGCAAAAAAUGAAUUAUAAGGUACAAAGGGUACCCAACUCUUACGAUUCUAAAAGAAGCCAUUAGAUGCUAAAAAUGCAAGAUAAUAGAUCUUUACACCAAUUUGAAAAUACAAGAGAAGACUUAGAAGCUAUUCUACCAACAAACCAAAACCAAGAGAUAUAAAUAAUUUGAUCCACUAAGGAUUGCAAGUUAAUGACAUCUCCUCUAAACAUUAUAUUAUUACGGGCUCACCACAAGCUCCAUGUAGUUGCCAACCAAAUUACAUGUCGAGCUUUUGCAUAAGACUUAUUCUUCACCAAAGCACCAAAGGAG
rnacentral:lncRNA from 1 species